rnacentral:rRNA from 1 species
GUGCAGCAGGCGCGAAACCUCCGCAAUACACGAAAGUGUGACGGGGCCAUCCCGAGUGCCGUCCGCUGAGGACGGCUUUUCCCCAGUGUACACAGCUGGGGGAAUAAGGAGAGGGCAAGCCUGGUGUCAGCCGCCGCGGUAAUACCAGCUCUCCGAGUGGUGGGGACGCUUAUUGGGCCUAAAGCAUCCGUAGCCGGCUGGGCAAGUCCUCCGUUAAAUCCAACGAUUCAAUCGUUGGGCUGCGGGGGAUACUGUCCAGCUUGGGGGGCGGGAGAGGCCGACGGGUAUU